rnacentral:miRNA from 1 species
GGAGGGAGAGAGGGAGAGAGAGAGGGGAGAUAUCUCUCUCUCUCUCUCUCUCUCUCUCUCUCUCUCUUUCUCUGUAUA